GCUGUGCAUGAAUGUUUACAGAAACAGUUCUUAAUAAUAUAUUUAUAUGUAUUUACAGACAUUCUUCUCCUUAUGGGCUGUUGGCUCAGAUCGCGCCUACUCAGGCACAGACGCCUCCAAACUCUCCGCAAAAUAAAGCAGACACUGUGGAGAAGAUGGACGUCGACUGUUGUUCUGUUUCUCAACAUUCAUCUAUCAGUCGGCCAAUCCAACACUCGUCUCCUCCCACUUCUCCUCCUCAGCGUCCCUCUGGAAAACGUCCGCUUCCUUGGACAUUACAG